rnacentral:rRNA from 1 species
UACGAAGGGGGCUAGCGUUGUUCGGAAUCACUGGGCGUAAAGCGCACGUAGGCGGAUCUUUAAGUCAGAGGUGAAAUCCCAAGGCUCAACCUUGGAACUGCCUUUGAUACUGGGGAUCUUGAGUCCGGGAGAGGUGAGUGGAACUGCGAGUGUAGAGGUGAAAUUCGUAGAUAUUCGCAAGAACACCAGUGGCGAAGGCGGCCCACUGGAUCGGUACUGACGCUGAGGUGCGAAAGCGUGGGGAGCAAACAGG